rnacentral:rRNA from 1 species
CGAACGCUGGCGGCAUGGAUUAGGCAUGCAAGUGAACGAACUCUCGGGAGUGAGUAGCGGAAGGGUGAGGAACGCGUGAGUAAUCCUGCCCCCAGUUGGGAAUAACAGUUGGAAACGACUGCUAAUACCGAAUGUGGCUUAAGCUUCGCCUGGAGCUUUGGCUAAAGAUUUAUCGCUGGGGGAUGAGCUCGCGUCCCAUUAGGUAGUUGGUGAGGUAACGGCUCACCAAGCCGACGAUGGGUAGCUGGUCUGAGAGGAUGGUCAGCCACACUGGGACUGAGACACUGCCCAGACUCCUACGGGAGGCUGCAGUCGAGAAUCUUGGGCAAUGCGCGAAAGCGUGACCCAAGCAAUGCCGCGUGUAUGAUGAAGGCCCUCAGGUCGUAAAGUACUGUCUCCCGUGACGAAAUUUGACGGUAGCGGGGAAGGAAGCCACGGCUAACUACGUGCCAGCAGCGGC